CACGUAGGGCGCAAGCGUUGUCCGGUAAUUAUUGGGCGUAAAGAGCUCGUAGGCGGUCUGUUACGUCUGCUGUGAAAACCCCAGGGCUUAACCCUGGGCUUGCAGUGGAUACGGGCAGACUAGAGGGCAGGUAGGGGAGAAUGGAAUUCCCGGUGUAGCGGUAGAAAUGCGCAGAUAUCGGGAGGAACACCGGUGGCGAAGGCGGUCUCUGGGCCUGACCUGACGCUGAGGCAGCGAAAGCGUGGGAGCGAACAGG
rnacentral:rRNA from 1 species